GAUGAACGCUAGCGGCAGGCCUAAUACAUGCAAGUCGAACGAUAUUACCCAGCUUGCUUAAUUGCUGACGACCGGCGCACGGGUGCGUAACGCGUAUGCAACCUACCUUAUACUGGGGUAUAGCCCGGAGAAAUUCGGAUUAAUCCCCCAUAGUACUAAUGAAUCGCAUGGUUUAUUAGUUAAAGCAUUGCGGUAUAAGAUGGGGAUGCGUCCUAUUAGCUAGAUGGUGAGGUAACGGCUCACCAUGGCUACGAUAGGUAGGGGGCCUGAGAGGGUGGUCCCCCACACUGGUACUGAGACACGGACCAGACUCCUACGGGAGGCAGCAGUGAGGAAUAUUGGUCAAUGGGCGCAAGCCUGAACCAGCCAUGCCGCGUGCAGGAAGAAUGCCCUAUGGGUUGUAAACCGCUUUUAUUUGGGAAUAAACCUCUUUACGUGUAGAGAGCUGAAGGUACCAAAUGAAUAAGCACCGGCUAACUCCGUGCCAGCCGCCGCGGUAA
rnacentral:rRNA from 1 species